UACGGGGGGGGCAAGCGUUGUUCGGAAUUACUGGGCGUAAAGGGCUUGUAGGUGGCCAACUAAGUCAGACGUGAAAUCCCCCGGCUUAACCUGGGAACUGCGUCUGAUACUGGGAGGCUAGAGUGCGGGAGAGGGAUGCGGAAUUCCAGGUGUAGCGGUGAAAUGCGCAGAUAUCAGGAAGAACACCAAUGGCGAAGGCAGCUCUCUGGGACGGUACUGACGCUGAGACGCGAAAGCGUGGGGAGCGAACAGG
rnacentral:rRNA from 1 species